CAGGAAGAAAGGGCUCUGAAUUUUAAAGUGAAGAAAGCUGGGAUGAAAGUUUCCACCCUAAAUAAUGGAAAAAAGCCCAAAUACAGAACUAUUUUGCAUGUGGUUUUCAGAUCAUUAAGUACUGGUUAAUUUCACAAGGGGUUUCUCGGAGCUACAAGGAACUCCUAUGAACCUAGGUGAGGAGCAAGUCAGAAGGGAGACCUCAG
rnacentral:lncRNA from 11 species